rnacentral:lncRNA from 1 species
UCCCUUUCACCGUCAUCCAUGAGAAGACACAGUGUUCCAUCCAGAGGAUGUAGCAUCAAGGCGUCAUCUUAAAAGCAGAGAAAAGACUCUUACUUGACACCAGAUGCCAGUGCAUUGAUCUUGGACUUCCCAGCCUCUAGAACUAAUGCUGGUAGCUGUGUAAUUAGGCAAGUUCUUCUCUGCUAUUUUAAGAAAAAGACUUCAUAGAAAAGUAAACAGCCCUGGGACAAAGAACAGACUACGGGUAUUGCCUUCUUAAUCAACAAUAAAGUAUUAGUUGGCUUCCAGGCAGACACCACUGACUUUCAAGAGAAAGGCACGGGAGUAAGGAAGUAAAGAAUUCAGGUGCUGCUUGAAAAUACAACAAACUGUCUUCAGAAUACUUUUAUGUGUUGUUGAAAGAAAGCACUGCAGCUAAUAUAGCUACAAAGGAGAAACAGUUAUUCUUAAAUGUCAUCUAUUUGCUGGACCUGAACAGGAAUUCACUAUGGAGCUCAUACAACUACCACCUUCAGCUAUUAAUCAAGGAGUCAUUCAACUGAGAAAGGGGAGAUUGAGAUGUUGAAUCAUUUCUCAUUCUGUGAAGUCUACCAGAAUAACCCAUAAAGCAAAUAUCAACCUAUUUCAAUUAGAAAAAUGAAAAAUACUGAUACAGCAGACGAAUUCUGGAACUAACACUUCCACAAAUCAUUGAUAAUCCAUUUUCCAACUUCUUCAAAUUCCAGACCAUCAACAAGCUAUUCAAAACAAUAAAUGUUAAUAGUUUUGGUGGAGUUAAGCAGCAGAAGUUAAAAGCAUUGUGGAAGACAGUAUGGUGAUUCCUCAAGGAUCUAGAAGCGGAAAUACCAUUUGACCCAGCAAUCCCAU